UAGUCACUAUAUUUAGGAGGAUUCCUUUCCUCCAUUAAGAGUCAAAAUUACCUUCAGUUGGAGGUGUAUGAUCCUCUUUUCACUCCAUGUCUCCCUUCGUUGCCAAAACUUCUCACCCUUGCCAUUAGUAAAGGUUCAUUGAACCAAGUUCAUGUUGACCAAACCCUAUUCUCAUUCACCACCUCUCCUUGCCAUCUCUUCCUUCCUCUUUCUCCCAUUUCUCUCUUUUUUUGCUUCUUUUCCUUUCUAUUUUCUCUCCAUUUUCAAACACCACCACCCUUCGCUUUUAACUUUUGCUCCUUUCCCCCACCAGAACAGAAACCUUUACCACUAUUCACCACUUAUCCUUUGAUCCUCUUUUUCUUCUCCCAUUGUCGUUGUGAUCGUCGCUGCGCGCCACCGCGGGUCUCUUUUCUCCUCCGUUAUUGUCC
rnacentral:lncRNA from 1 species